CUCGCCAGGCAAUGGAAGCGGUGUGACGGGAAAGGGGCACUUCAUGCACAAAAUGUAUCUUACAAAAUACAUAUCCAAAAAAGCAAAAAACAACAACAAAAAAAAAAGCCAACAACAACAAAAAAAAAUCCCACCUUGCACUAAAUUGCAGCACUCUUAACACUUGCUCUGCCACAGGCUGCUGCCCAUGCCUUGUUUGAUAGAGGAGGCAUGUGAAAAAGGGGAGGGGGGGGGAAAAUCCAUGUUUCAGUCUGUUUUUCAAACUCUCUCUCACAGGGACGUCCUCAGUCAUCUGAUGUCAGACACAGAGCCCUCAGAGUACGUCGUGGUCAUGACUGGAGUGCCGUUGUUUGCCAAGCAGCCUUGCCUCAAGGUUUCAAAAUACGAGGCCUGCACCGGUUUGUGAUACUGCAGAACUUUGAUGGCAUCUUCUAUCUUAAACCAUUCCCUUUUCCUUCCAAUAUUGACAGAGUCCUCCCAAUCUUCCAACACUUCAGUGACAAUAAGUACGUAAACAUAUGUCCUGUGUUUCCUGUCCCGAUUCUCAAAAAUUCCCACCAAUCUUCCUAACGUCCCUUUCACUCCAGCCUCUUCGCAGACUUCCCGCACAGCAGCCACGUUGGGCUCCUCCUCGGGCUCCAUGCCACCCCCAGGGACGAUCCAUCGAUCAGGAUGACGACUACUGCUAACCAGCAGCACCUCCUCCUCGCUCUCGCUGCGGAAGCACAGGCAGGCCGCCCGCUUCUUGUAGCCGUCCCCGUCGUAGGUGCGCGUCUGGUUGGACUUGAGCUUCAUCAUCCUCCGCUCCCAGGGGGCGGCCCGAGGGACGGCGAGGCCUAGAGAGGGCCGGGGCGGCGGGGGCGGGCGGGGAAGGAGCCGCCGGGGCUCCCGCGAGGGGCGGGCGGGGAAGGACGGGGGGGACGGAGGGGGGCCCGCCUCCCCGCGAGUCUCUUUCUCUGUCAGUCUCUGUCUCCCGCAGGCCGGGAGCCGCCCGCUACACGCUGCCGCCUUUCGCCCGCCUCAUCCCUCCCUUCACUUCCAGCCGCUCCGCCGCCGCUGCCAGCGCUCCGGCCACCGCCGCCGACGACGACCGCGACGCCAUCUUGGGGCACGCUACGCAAACGGCGUAAAGCCGCCGGGCGGGGGAGGGGGCGGCUGCUCCCUCCAGCUGCACGGCGCGCCCGCCACGCAGACGGCGCAGUCCGGCUUCCAGAAUCGCUCCCCCCCUCCCCGCGGCAGGCACAGACGCCGCCACCACGCCUCCGCCCGACGCCGGCCCUGCGCGCCAGCGGCGCGGCGCAGAGCCUUCAAGAAUACGGCGGCGGCUGCGUGCCGGGGCGCCCUGACAGCUACGCAAAAGGCGGCGAGGCAGAGCCGGCGCCCAGCGCACAUGGCUCCGCUUUGACAGCGGCUCUACGCAAAGCGCGCAGACGCCGGGGAGGGAAG
rnacentral:lncRNA from 1 species